ACACCGGCGGCCCGAGUGGUGAUCGUGAUUAUUGGGUCUAAAGGGUCCGUAGCCGGUUUGGUCCAGUCCUCCGGGAAAUCUGACAGCUCAACUGUUAGGCUUUCGGGGGAUACUGCCAGACUUGGAACCGGGAGAGGUAAGAGGUACUACAGGGGUAGGAGUGAAAUCUUGUAAUCCCUGUGGGACCACCUGUGGCGAAGGCGUCUUACCAGAACGGGUUCGACGGUGAGGGACGAGAGCUGGGGGCAC
rnacentral:rRNA from 1 species